rnacentral:rRNA from 1 species
AUUGAACGCUGGCGGCAGGCCUAACACAUGCAAGUCGAGCGGAUGAAGGGAGCUUGCUCCUGGAUUCAGCGGCGGACGGGUGAGUAAUGCCUAGGAAUCUGCCUGGUAGUGGGGGAUAACGGCCGGAAACGGGCGCUAAUACCGCAUACGUCCUGAGGGAGAAAGUGGGGGAUCUUCGGACCUCACGCUAUCAGAUGAGCCUAGGUCGGAUUAGCUAGUUGGUGGGGUAAAGGCCUACCAAGGCGACGAUCCGUAACUGGUCUGAGAGGAUGAUCAGUCACACUGGAACUGAGACACGGUCCAGACUCCUACGGGAGGCAGCAGUGGGGAAUAUUGGACAAUGGGCGAAAGCCUGAUCCAGCCAUGCCGCGUGUGUGAAGAAGGUCUUCGGAUUGUAAAGCACUUUAAGUUGGGAGGAAGGGCAGUAAGUUAAUACCUUGCUGUUUCGACGUUACCAACAGAAUAAGCACCGGCUAACUUCGUG